GACAGAGGGUGCAAACGUUGUUCGGAAUUACUGGGCGUAAAGCGUGUGUAGGCGGCUUCGCAAGUCGGAUGUGAAAGCCCCGGGCUCAACCCGGGAAGUGCACUCGAUACUGCGAAGCUUGAGUGUCGGAGAGGUUGGUGGAAUUCCCGGUGUAGCGGUGAAAUGCGUAGAGAUCGGGAGGAACACCAGUGGCGAAGGCGACUCUUUGGCCUGUAACUGACGCUGAGGCGCGAAAGCGUGGGGAGCAAACAGG
rnacentral:rRNA from 1 species